CUGUGCGCCCGCGCGGAGUGCGAGAGCGUUUGCCUGUGGAGUGGUGAGGUUUCCGAGAAGCGUGGCGCGCUGAGAGCCCUGAGGCGUUCCUGGGAUGGUCCCCUUCGGCCGGCGCUGGGACUUUGUCAGCGAUGACUUGGUCUUCCCUGCGUUCUUCAAGCGGUUCCUGCGAGGGCUGUUGGAUCGCGCCGAGGAGCAGGGAGGCGCGUGUCACCUGAGACCGUGAUAAGAAUCGCCAGUCUUCGGGUGCUGACGCGGUCGCGGCGCUGGCCUUGCAUUCCCUUGACUGGUCCUCACCACCACGGAGCAGGCACAAAUUUUGGUCAGUUAACAACAGCCCUGUUACACAGCAGCAUGGUAUGACAGCAUACAAACAAUCCAGAAUGACAUGAUCAUAUGCAUCAAGCCCCAGCCUCCCGCCCCAGUCAUCCAGGCAGAAGAGGAUCACUGGAUUCAAAGAAGAUGAAUGUGGAUCUGCAAGUUUUCUGACUUGACCCGGAGUAUAGAACCCAGGAUUCAGAAUAAGUCUUCUGUCCAGAAAAGAGGUGCAGUUUUCAGAUUCAGAUGUGGAGGUGGAAUUCAUCAGCGUUUUCUGACUUGACCCAGAAGGUAGAACACCCAGCCUUCACACUGUCCUCUGUACCAAAAAGAAAAGAGGAGUAGUUAUGUGAUUCUGAGAAGGAGGUGGAAGUGGACUUGUCAGUUUUCUGACUUGACUGAGAAGGUAGAUCCCAGUCUUCAGACCCAGUCCUCUGUCCUGAAGCAGAAAGAGAAGCAGUCAUGAGAUUCGGAGAAGCUGGAAGUGGGUCUGUCCAAGUUUUCUGACUCCACACAGAGGGUAGAACUUGGGCUUCCACUUCAAUGCUCUGGCCAGAAGAAGAGGGAGUGGUCAUCAGAAUUUGAGGAGGAGCUGGAGGAUGCAGGCCUCGAGCCUAAGCACCUCUGGGUCAUGGAGACACUGUGAGCUCAAGAUGAAGUUUUGACAGAACACAGCACGUUUCUUGAGGAAACUUUAAUAAAGAUGAACAUCUUUGCACCUUCAUGAUGCAUGUGACCAUAUCAGUCUGGACUGCUUCUUUGCUGUCAAUAACACUGUUGUAUUACAGGAUUCCAGGUAAUUGACCAAAUAUCUUACCUGUGGGAAAAAAUCUCCAAUUGCUUUUCAUGUUGGAAAACAACAGAGAAGGUAGCAGAAGCUAGCAACUGGAAGCAGGAAACACAGGAGCACACCGAGGAAGGCAACCUAGGAGGAGUACAAAGAAGAAAGAAAAUUCUAUGGGAACCUGUAUAAAAAUCCUAAAUCUGAAAUCAAGGAGAAGUGUCUCACAGGAGACGCUUUCCUGGUAAUGGUCCAAGGAUGGGGACACUCAGGGGUAGGUGGAGUUUGCUAGCUAAGUCAUUAUUUGGAGUCUUUUCCACAACCUCUAAUUGCAGUUUCACAUAACAGAAGGACGAUCCAGAUGGUUGUGAUGAACUAGAAACACAUGAAGGGAAAUGAAAGUUCUCUAAACAGAUGGGCACAGAAAGGAACAAGCUACUAGCGCAGUCCUUCAACAACUGCAGAAAAGCAUCUUGGGAGAUGGGAGCAGCAGAGAGUAGGGGAGAAGCUGGGGAAAGAAACCGAUGAAGCAAAACAUCAGCCGGAAGUAGAACAAAGCUAAAGAGAGGUGGCAACAGUACCAGCGGUGAGAUGUGAAUGGGUCAGAGACAGUGGGGACCGUGCUGAGGGGCAGGAAAGGGUGACAUCUGGAAUGUGCCUAAAACCAGAUGGAUACGUUGAGAGAGGGAUGGUGGUUGAGUGGGUGGAGCAACUGAAGAGGAUCCAUGAAGGGAGGAGCCACUAAAAAUCAGCACUGUCGUGCAGCAUGGUGGUGCAAGCCUGUAAUCCCAGUGGCUUGGGGGCUGAGGCAGGAGGGUUGUGAGUUCAAGGAUAGUGUCAGCAACCUACUGAGACCCUGUCUCAAAAUAAAAAAUAAAAAAGGCUAGGGAUGCUGCUCAGUGGUAGAGCACCCCAGCGUUCAAUCUCCAAUACCAAAAACAACAGUAAUAACAAGAAAACCAGAUGGGCACUGCGCAAAGCAAUUCUGAUCCUGGUCAACUGCACGGAGGUGAAAUGCUACAGGCUGAGGCACAGGCCUCACUAUACUGCCCACACUUCAGAUACAAGCUGCAAGCUCUGUGCUUCCCACACCACUCACCCCAGGCCCAAAACCAUCCUUGAGUCCAGACUCACAUGUCCCUGAUCUUAAACUCAACAUGCCUGAAAUUUGAUUGCUAUUCCUCCUUUAGCCUAAUGGAACCACUUUGCAGUACUGGCCACAAUCACCAAAGCAAUAAGCAAGCCAGGCAAUGUAUGUUCUACUUAUAUAUUUCAUUACAGGAAAGCACACAGCACAAGAGGUGUCAGCAAUAGCCUGACUUGGUUGUUCCCAGUUCCCAGCUGGGAACUCUGAAAUUCCUUUUUCCACAUUAACACAUUCCAGGAGAGGAGAAACACCUUCCUGAGAAGGGAUGGAUAGCUUACCUGGAAAAUGUGCAUCUUCCGAAUUCACAAAAACUCACAGCAGCACUAUAACUGCUUCCUUUAGUAUCAUCACCUGUACACUAGGAUGAUGGUUCCCAUCACAUACUGUACCAUCAGCAGGAAGCAGGGGUGUUACAGAAAGCACUUAGCUUUGUGGAUCCCACCCCUAUCGAUGAUGUCUACUCCUGGCUUAUCACUUUCCAAAUUAGGACAGCAAAUAAAACACAAGUCAAAGAUUUUCCUUCUUGGCUGGUUCAAUCUUAUUCCUCCCAUCAAAAACCAAACCAAACAAUCCUCUCUUGACCUCAACUCCUUCUGCAGCUACUGACCAAAUCCUCUUUUCCCAUUGGGUCAACAUUCAUUUUAACAUUAUGAAUAGAUCAAAUCCAGUCCUACCACUCUCUCUCAAACCCCUCCAGAUCCAGCUAAACGAAUCUUCGAGGAGUCACAGGACUUCUCCGGGACUGAAUCCCAUGACCAGUUCUGUCCUUGGGCUUGACUAUGAACAGCAUUUGAUAUAGUUCCUCCUCCAACCCCCAAAACUUUCCAUUUCCUUGGCUCCACUUCAUGCCCCUGGUUCUCGCUCCUGCCUUACCACCAGCCCCACCCAGUUCCUCCUUCUGUAGCAGACUUUGCACAUGGGAGAGUCCUGACGUCACCCCCUUGCCUACCUCCCAACACAGCUUUCCAUGCUGACUUCCAGGGCAGCUGUCCACUGAAGUCCCAACACAAGCCCUGCCCUCUUGCUAUAUCUGCUUUACCUCAUGCUAACAGAGCCAAUUCAAAAUGGCAGAAACCCAAUUCUGGCAUUUUCUUAAAUCUGAUUUUCCCACCAUCUCCCCACUCCCAAUUUAAUGGUAACCUAAUUUUCCUGGUCAUUCAGGGAGCCUCCAAAGAGCUUUCCACAUGGGGACAGUAUGAUCGAAGUAUAGUUUCAGGAUAAAUACUCAAGGCAGAAAAAACACUUGAGCCAGUGAUGGAAAGCAACAGCAGGGAAAGGGAAUUUCUGCAAGAGUUCACAGAAACAAAAACGAGAACAAACCCAAAAACUGUGAUAAUGGUAACAAGGAGAGAGGAAGGGGAAAGGAUAAAAAUAACUUUGAAUAUAACACUAGCAAACUUGAACAACUGCCUGUGACAACAGUGAAUGAGGGAGUUUAUUGGGAUCCCAUUUUCUGAACAGGGUCAGAGGCUGCACAAUGCAUCAAUGAAUAAAUAGGGACAAGAGCAGAAGGCAUAGGCGAAGGCCAACAAAAAUGAUUGGGAUCUUUUGCAUCUAUUAGUUUCAGGUGUCCUCUGGAUGCACCCCAUGGAGAGGUGAACGGUGGCAACUGAUCCCCUUUGGGAAACCAACAUGGACUCAUGGUCACAGCACAGGUGAGAUCAGACAGGACAGUCAUGAGCUAAAUGCACAUGAACAACAUAUGAAGAAGGCAGGAGAACUCCUCAGAUUCAGGAAGAGGACAAGAGAAAUGGGACAGAAAAUGACAGAGGAGAUUGUGGAGUGGUGUAAGACAAAGAUGGCAAUUAGCCACUGGGUGUGUAUGUUAGAAACACCCAAGUGUACAUAAGGCCACUGGAAACCUUUACCAGAACAGGAUCAGGGAAGUGGCAGGGACAGAAUGGAGACUGUGGGAGGCGGGAUAAAAUGGGAAUGGGAAAUAAGGACACUUUCACCAGGGAUUCCUACUGCACUGCCUGCUGUAAACCCAGAUCAACUAGCGGAGAAAUAAUUAAGACUCAAGGGUGAGGCAUUCCUUCAGCUGAUCCAGGCCUUAUCCCUGGAUGGAGCAAUAAAAAUAAUGUUUUAGUCACCAUAAAGAUCAUGUGUGCUGAGUCCGUCUUGGACAAAAGCUGUCUGUUCAGAGGACAAAUAAUGUAUCAGUGACAGAGGCUUAUUGGUUAUUAUUUGGGAAGGCUAUUCCCAAUCACAUCAAAGAAAUCUUUAGCAUCUACAAGAAAAGGAACAUCCCCACUUAUGUUCAAUGUAAGUCAAGGAAAGUAGGACAUUAAUUAUUAUUUGCUAUGAAUGCCAAGAAUAGGAGACAUGCAUGUACUCUGGUCUUAAGAAUGCUUUAAGGAUCAUGUCCUCUACACAUAUGACCAUGACAAAAUAAUUGGGUGCUGAUCACUACACUGUUUUGACCAUAUUUUAGACUAUUUGCCUCCUAAGGAGUAGUGUGUAUGGAAAAGUGCUGAAUAAACACAUGAUUAGAAAAACUCACCAGGGAUUCACUCAUUUCCUGCAGCUCUUGGAAAACAUGGAAGAUUGUCGAAGCAGAUGCAGAUCUGAGGAUGGAAAAUGCCAAGUGCUAUUGUUAUGAGUGAUCUGGCCUGCCACAGCAGGGGUCUUGUGCAUAAAAACCUACCCCGAAAGUUCCAGGACACUCAUGGAGAUUGUCCCAUUAGGCUGUCCCCACCUACAUGUUUGUAGUGGUGAAUGAGUGGGUGUGAGUCUCAUGGUGAAUGAACUUCAAAUCCAAAUGACAACAUCUGCCAUCAUUUAAAUGUCAGCUAAAAAAGGAAUUCUGCUGUCCAGCACUCUUGUGUUUUCCAACUCUGUUAACUACUUAAGAUCACAAUAUCCAUAGGAUUCUCUGAUAAAGGAAUGCCAACAGCAUGGUCAAAUUUUAACUGCAGUAUCUUGGGUGGCUCUGGUCAAAAGGAUAUUUUAUUAAGCUUACUGUGACUGAAAAGUAAUUGAGUGGAAGGCACGCUGUCCUGGAAGUGCCUACAAACAAACCCAGAGCUCUUGGUGAACCACUGCCCAUGUCAGGUCCAAUGUCUUCCUGCAUCAAACGAGGCAGAAGGAGACUUUUACUUCACUAAACUGCGGGAUUCUGCAAGGACAGGCCUCAGCGGGAGUCAACAAAACUGAGGUGCUGAUGGAGACUGACGGCAGGAGACAGGAGCUCAGAGAGGAUGAAGAAGGGAGAAGGAGCAUGGAGGAAGGAGUGCAGGCUGAAGUCGCAGGGAGGCCAGGAGGCCAGUGUCUCCUCCUCCCCAGCACAUGGUUUCCUUUCCAGAUCUACCCGCAGAGCACCUAAGGCAGUGCAGCUCACCCUGCAGGCAACCCGACAGUCUUCCCUCUCUAGAAGCCACUAAACCCUCCCCUGCCUCUCACGAUAAUGCCUCCCACGUGGUUCCUGCACCCAAACCUGUCUCACCCCAGUAAGCAAACCCACUAACUGCCCCUCCUGGGGCUGCGCAGCUCCGGUCCUGCGGCUCCUGACGGGGACAUGAGCGAUGGUUUCCGCAGGUCGCAUCUGGGUGCAGUGGAUUCCUGAGGGCCAUUACUGGUCCAGAGGAGAACUGGGACCAGCAGUUCCUGGGGCCGUUAUUGUUCUCAAGGGGGUGGGGUCACUUCCUGAGGCUACUGGGCUCCCAGGCCUCAGACCUCCCCUCACCAAGCGGAUGUUCUCUGAAGGGUCCAGAUGGAGCCUCCCUCCAGGUCCCAGAUCCUCCAGCUCAGGACUCAGCAUCCUGAAUAGUACAGGACAGGCUGCCCAGGGAGCCGCCACCUUAGUCUGGACUCCAUUCCUUAUAUUCUCUCCAUGAUUUCCUUUCUUUUUUAACUUAGCUCUUACAUGACAAGUGUUACCAUCCUACAUAAACAUUUUAUUAAAUACAGAAUAAAUUGUCUCUUUUAUAAAUUAGCCUUUUGAACAUCCCAUGUUGGGGUUUGUUUUUCAUUUGGCAGCAAAAGGUCUAUAGGGGCUGCAAACAUUUCA